GCCAGCAACUACACUACGCAGAAACCUCUGGUUCCCGUCACACCAACGAGGUUGUGUUACGUCGGGCCGGGCUAGUACACAAAUGGGUGACGGAUGAGGAACACUCGGAGUCGCUGGCC
rnacentral:rRNA from 1 species